rnacentral:rRNA from 1 species
UACGAAGGGGGCUAGCGUUGCUCGGAAUUACUGGGCGUAAAGCGCGCGCAGGCGGUUCUUCAAGUCAGAGGUGAAAGCCCAGAGCUCAACUCUGGAAUGGCCUUUGAGACUAGAGAACUAGGGUACGGGAGAGGUGAGUGGAAUUCCGAGUGUAGAGGUGAAAUUCGUAGAUAUUCGGAAGAACACCAGUGGCGAAGGCGGCUCACUGGCCCGUUACCGACGCUCAGGCGCGACAGCGUGGGGAGCAAACAGG